AUCGCUCGGCCUUUUGGCUCAGAUCAAGUGUAGUAUCUGUUCUUAUCAGUUUAAUAUCUGAUAGUCCCCCAUCGGGGGACUACAUAUUAAAUGGGAUUUUUUCGAACAGGGAGUCGGAAGGGGCUUGCUCAACGUCCGGCUCCACUUGCAUCGACCCGGUAUUGCAGUACCUCCGGGAACGGUGCAACACUU
rnacentral:snRNA from 1 species